GCAGCCUGGGGCCCAGGAAAGGCAUGAGAAUUCACCACUGGCCACUAUCUCUUUGUACUUCCUGUGGACUAGUCUGUUACUCAUGGGCAGUCCUUUAGGUGACAAUUAAUCAACCUUGGUUGGCAGAUGAGAAAAAUGAGACUCUGAGAGACCAGCCAACUAGCCACACAGCAGAACUCUCAGCACCACAUGACGUAAGAAUGGCAGCGGCUUCAGGCUGAGGGCAAUAGGUCUCCCAAGGGAGCAGCAGCAUGGAUGAUGAUAAAAAAACACUCUGCAGAACAUCUCCGAGCCUCUCCUUCAGUCCCCAGACUCCUCUCUGGCUUUCCUCAGCCCUCCCAUGGCUUGUUCUCUGGAUCAUGAUUGAAAUGGAUCAUGGCAUACAUCUGGAUUCCUAGCAUUCAGGAGGCCGAGGCAAUAGGAUUGCUAGUCCAAGGCCAGUGUGGGCUACAUAGUGAGACCCUCUCUAAAACAAAGCAAGCCAGGGCCUGGGGAGAUAGCUUGCAGGGGCCAGAAGCCAGAGAGCUACAGUCCUCAAAGUCCUCAAAUCCCCUGCGUGCCAAAGAGAGACACCGCCACAAGACCUGGUGUCUAGAAGAGAAACCUCAGCUGUAGUGCUACUCAUGGUCUGAGGGCAGAUGCGUGGGCUUCGGCAUCGGAGCUUCAGGCUCUUUCUGUGCUUUGAUUCCAGAGGCUCAGGUGUCUUGUGGUUUCAGCCACUCCCGACUUCCUAAAACUCAACAAGAAAUCUGAGCCAGCCCUUCCCAGCUUUGUAAAUAUCGAAUUCCCUGUAUUUAAUCACUCUUUCGGAGUGAGGCGCCUAUGUCCUGACUGGUGUGAGGCCUUGUCCAUGAUCAUAGUUUAUAACCUGCUUGCUUGUACUUAACAAGACAAAUCUAUUCAAGGGCCAUCGAGUAUUCAAGUUUGGGUGGUCACCUGCUAGCCAACAAUUAGGUUGUUUCCUGGUUUUGCUGUUAUGUCCACACAGUCAAGAACCACCCCCACAGUCCUCAGCUUGGCAAUGAAUCUGUAUGCAAGGUCAGAAGUAUUUACUCAGAACACAUUCUUGAAAUGCAAUGUUUUAGUUGAGAGAAGCUCACUCUUUGAAAGUGCUCAUGUCUAUUUCCAGAGAUGUCAUCUGUGUUUUCUCGUUUUGGCCUGUAGGACAUGAUUCUCUACUUUUUCUUCCAACUCUCUGGCUGUGCCGUCCCCAUUUCAGUGGCUUCUUCCUCCUCCACCAGUCCUAGGGAUAGAACCACUGUUCUACCUCUCAGUCAAGUGCUUUGUGUCCGAGCCACGUCUCCAGCCAACCUGGACUUUUCUCUCUAUUUCUUGGGCAUCGUGCAAACGGUGAGGGAAUCUGAUUGCUUCUGUCUUCAGAAUACAUCCAUGUUUGACUGCUCUUGAGGGCCAUCCAUCACCACCUGCUCAGAACCACAUCCUGUCUCAGCUGGGUUCUGACAGUGGCUUUGGAACCAUUCCCAAGUUGCUCAGAUUCUCCGCAGUAGCCGGAGAUCUUGCUAAACCAUUAACCAGAUCAUGUCAUGCUUUGCUUGGAACCUUAAACUCUCAUCUCCCUCAGGGAAAAGAAAAAAAAAAACCCACAAAAAACCCAAUACCAUUAUAGCUGUCGUGAAACCCUAACUACCACCCCACAUUGCUCCUUUGCCCUCUUCUCCCCACUCCCUGGUCUCUUGAUCUACCCUACCCCUUGAACCUUCUUGUUUCUCAG
rnacentral:lncRNA from 1 species